rnacentral:lncRNA from 1 species
UUGGCCGUGCUCAAAGUAGCGGUCAACCAUUUGAUCGAUGUAAUAAAACGGUGGAUUGGAUACAGAUAUACAGACAAACAUUUUAUCUUAAUAUUGUUCUCUAUGAAUAGAACCGCUUUGUUGCUUUGGAGGAGUCGAGACAAUGCCGUAGAGAAUCACGAGACUCUCAGUGAACGUCACGAGCCGAUCGGUGAGUUCAUCAAGAGAGACUUCGAAAAGGUUCCAUGACGAAUCAAUCUAAAGGCACUCGUGCGUCAUAUCUAAUAACUGUUUGUGAUGAAGGCAGGUAACGUUUUGUUGUUGAGGCCCCUUUCCAGCCAGACAUGAAGUAACUGCAUAUUACGCUUUGUCAUUGUCGCUCGGGACGACAGAUAUAUGAUGGUCGGAACACAGCCGUAAUUUAGUGGACAGUAAACAGGUUGCUUGCUACCGGCGAGCCUAUUCUCCGCUGCUACGAUUUGCCACAAACGAAGCUGGCUAUGGCCAUCGGUCGUUAACGGAGAUGGGGUGUUUUUUUUGUGAGUGCCCAUAAACAGGCUUCGGUAAAGAAUCUGGAUAAAGAAAUGUUUCGCAUUUUUCGUCUGCUACAGCCGUUAAGUAGGUGGGUGGCUUCAAGCACCAAGCGACGGAUGUUUACAAAGUUUCAAGCGCAAAGAACGUCACGUAUUGCUAAGUUCAGUAGGGAAACGCGUUCGACUUGGCCGUCAUAGGAAUUUAUGGGAUCUAGAAUGUUUUUUAGUCUCAGUAUCCAAGACGUUUCUCUCUCUGCUCUGCAUGCCAUUGAGCCGAAUCAGUAACGCAGCUGUAGACAACUUGGGAUGAUGGCGUUCCCACCUGAGUACAGCUAAAGAGAUCAUAAUAACCGCUGAAUAUCGUCUUCAGUUCUACGGUACUAACGACCAGCCCAGCGUUAUUUACGUUAAAAAGCCAAGAACGAAGACAGUUACGUCAAGAAAGGUGACCUUAAUUCUCUGAAAUAUCUUUUUUUACCAAGGUCGCCCUGGGGUGCAGGACACACUCCGCUGCCACUGCUGUAACAGCCCCGUGUGGUUUAUAAAGAUUCUGCGGUGAACCUUAUUGCAAAAUCUGAUUUGGUGGUCGUUAGCUGCAAACUAUCUUCAAACUUCGAACCGAGCGAUACCUUAUCGACGCGUCUGCUCCUCUAUCAUUUCACACAAUAUUAGCCCUUGUCCCACGGCUUACAUAGAUGCUGUUAACUGCGCAGUUCACAGCAAUAGUGGCAGCGCCAAAAUACCCUUGGAUUUACGAACUAAAACGGCAACAGUACUAUGACCCAAUCCAUCUGUACUUGCUGCCGGCCAAUAUUAAUAUAGGAGAGGGAUCAUUUAUAAUCCAGCCGCCAACGUAUGGUGAAACUCAUUCUCUCAUAGGCACAGCCUCUCCUAGCAUACAAUCGAGACACGCUCCGUCCGUGAAUUUUCUUCGCCAUCACCCCUCCACCGCCUAUAGAUCGCCAGAUCUACUGUACUCCGCGAAUAAAUAUGUACAAGCUCCUCUAUGUAAGUACCGGUCUCACGCACGCGAGCUAGCGCUCAAAAGGCUUUUUCCUACUGCUGACGCCCGCUCCUUCUUAGCCCAGCUAACAUGAUACCCCCGGCGGAUUCUGCUGCUAGAAUGGCCAUGAUAACACACCCAUUCUAGCUCAUAGCCCCCUUAAACGCUCGGUGGAACCGACCCCAUGACCAUCAGCACAACAGGCGCAGUCGGGUUUAUUUGCGUCUAUCGACUAGCUUGUACAGCUCAACCUUUUUCUCUUCGGCAUCGCCAUCUUCGUCAUCGUUAGCUACGGAAGUGAGUAUGACCACUUCCCCUGGCUCCUCGUAAAGUGGAAUGGAUGAAUCCGUAGUACUCCAUUCGCGGCCAUAUUGCUCGAUGCACUCUGAUAUGCUUUCGAAGCUGCCGGCGUUUUCUCUCCCAGCCUGCCCUGAAGUGACGGUGUGACGCCCUAAGCUCCCGCAGAGUGCUCGAGGCAUGUUCGUUGCCAUAGGCUGAACGAUGGCUGCUGUCAUUAUUGUUGCUAAUGCUGUUGCUGGUGCUUCUACCGUGAAUAGUACCAGAUAUGCUGCUGCUGCCGCCGAUUCUCUAUUUUGGUGGAUUCAUUAUGCAAUAUUUAGAUUAGAUUUGUCUGAGGACGCCAGCCAAUGAAAGCAACACUCGUGCCAGGCCAACUCCACGGAGUAACCACCUACCGAAUGCACCGUAGCCAUCAGACAAUGGCGUCGAAGACAACAGGCCUAUCGAUGAGACCUACGCUGAUUUGUUAGUGAGAGUUGAUGUCGUAGGGCUGAAAAAAACUGGCAUAGUUUUCUCCAACCCAGCCACCGCGACAAUUUGAUUGUCAACUGAAAUUCGAUUUUUUAAUCCUGACUCUGCUCGAUGGAUCGCACCGCGCCGUGAGAAUAGACUGAAGCUUUUGGAAGCUGAAGAGACUGGGGACACUGCGGGAAAGCGGCCAUCCAUUGGGUACGCUGUAAUGACAUGACAUAACAAACCUUGAAAAUGAGAGGAUUCAACUAUAAGGAUUCUAGUUGUCAUUAGCAGCAGACGCGUCUCGGUAGUCCUAGGUCAUGGGAACUCUCGUGGGUUUAUGUAAGGUCUUCCACACGGGCUUGCACGUUGUCGUUGAUGGGUAGUGAAGAGCAAAAUUCUUCUGUGGUCAGUACACAGAUUUAUAAUUUGUCUUGUAAACUGUAACACUCUUUGUCGGAGCAAACAAUUUAACAAAAUGCCAAAUUAUCGUUAUAGUCAGCUACUAUUAACGUUACUAUUGCAAACGGAACUAGAGAUGUUUGCCUAAAGGAAUCAUGUCUUUUCCGAUCAUUCUGUUCGAAAUAAAGCCCUC